rnacentral:rRNA from 1 species
UACGUAGGGGGCAAGCGUUAUCCGGAUUUACUGGGUGUAAAGGGGGCGCAGACGGCGAUGCAAGCCAAGAGUGAAAGCCCGGGGCCCAACCCCGGGACUGCUCUUGGAACUGCGUGGCUGGAGUGCAGGAGGGGCAGGCGGAAUUCCUGGUGUAGCGGUGAAAUGCGUAGAUAUCAGGAGGAACACCGGUGGCGAAGGCGGCCUGCUGGACUGCAACUGACGUUGAGGCCCGAAAGCGUGGGGAGCAAACAGG